rnacentral:lncRNA from 1 species
AUGCCCCACACAUCGCCCCACGUCACCCCACAUCGCCCCACACCUCCCCGUGCCCCACACCUCGCCCCACAUCGCCCCACGCCUCACCUUACUGGGGGGGGGCGCUCCGUGGGGCAGGAAGGCGGCCGUCCGCCGUCCGUGGGGCUGGAGCUGCCGUGGGGCCGGGGGGGCCUCGCCGCGGGGCGCGCUAUGGGGCGGGGGACACCCAGUUCCCCCAGUUCACCCCGCUGGCCCCGCUACUGGCGUCAGCGCCGGCCGCCACGGCGUACUGGGAGGCACUGGUGCCGUACUGGGAGGCGUCGCCGGCGCCGCCGGCCGCCGCCGCAGCAGCCGCCGCCGCGUACUGGGCGGCCGCCGCCGCCAUGGCGCUGUACUGGGAGGCGCCGGAGCCGUACUGGGAGGCGCCGGAACCGUACUGGGAGGCGCCGGAGCCGUACUGGGAGGCGGCGGCGCUGUACUGGGCGUACUGGUUUCCGCCGUACUGGGCGCCGUAUUGGUAGUACUGCGCGGCGCCGCCCCCCCCGGCCCCCCCGUACUGGGCGUACUGGGCAUACUGGGCGUACUGGGCGCGGGCGGCGCUGGCGGGGGUGGCGGCGAAGGGGGAGGGGGCGCGGGGGGGCGCGGCGCUGGCCCCCCCCACCAUGCGGUGGCAGCAGGGCGCCAGGCGCGCCCCCCCGCAGCCCAGGCGGUGCAGGCAGCCCCCCCCCAGGCGGGGGCAGCCCCCCCCGAGGCGGUGCAGGCACGGGGAGCCCCCCCCCGCCGCCCCCCCCCCGGCCAGGCGGGGGGAGCAGCAGCCGCCGCCCCCCCCCUGCAAGCGGUGCAGGCAGCCGCCGCCCCCCCCCGAAGCCCCCAGCCCCAAGCGGCCGGCGGGGAAGCAGCCGCCCCCCCCCCCGGCCGAGGCGCCCCCCCCGCGGCACGGGGAGCCCCCCCCGGCGGCGCCCAGGAAGGGGGAGGCGGGGGAGCGCGGGAAGCAGCCCCCGCCCCCCCCCGAGCCGGCCCGCGCCCCCCCCGGGGUGGCCAAAAAGGGGGAGGCCGGGG